rnacentral:rRNA from 1 species
UACGAAGGGGGCGAGCGUUGUUCGGAUUUACUGGGCGUAAAGGGCGCGCAGGCGGCGCAUUUUGUCAGGCGUGAAAGCCCCGGGCUUAACUCGGAACGGUCAAGUGAUACUGUCGCGCUAGAGUGCGGAAGGGGCAAUCAGAAUUCUUGGUGUAGCGGUGAAAUGCGUAGAUAUCAAGAGGAAUACCUGAGGUGAAGACGGGUUGCUAGGCCGACACUGACGCUGAAGCGCGAAAGCCAGGGGAGCAAACGGG